UAGGGAAUCUUCGGCAAUGGACGAAAGUCUGACCGAGCAACGCCGCGUGAGUGAAGAAGGUUUUCGGAUCGUAAAACUCUGUUGUUAGAGAAGAACAAGGACGUUAGUAACUGAACGUCCCCUGACGGUAUCUCACCAGAAAGCCACGGCUAACUACGUGCCAGCAGCCGCGGUAAUACGUAGGUGGCAAGCGUUGUCCGGAUUUAUUGGGCGUAAAGCGAGCGCAGGCGGUUUCUUAAGUCUGAUGUGAAAGCCCCCGGCUCAACCGGGGAGGGUCAUUGGAAACUGGGGGACUUGAGUACAGGAGAGGGGAGUGGAAUUCCAUGUGUAGCGGUGAAAUGCGUAGAUAUAUGGAGGAACACCAGUGGCGAAGGCGGCUCUCUGGUCUGUAACUGACGCUGAGGCUCGAAAGCGUGGGGAGCAAACAGG
rnacentral:rRNA from 1 species